rnacentral:rRNA from 1 species
UACAGGGGGUGCAAACGUUGCUCGGAAUCAUUGGGCGUAAAGCGCACGUAGGCGGUUACUUAAGUCGGAUGUGAAAGCCCUUGGCUCAACUGAGGAAGUGCAUCCGAAACUGAGUAGCUAGAGUACUAAAGAGGGUCGCGGAAUUCCCGGUGUAGAGGUGAAAUUCGUAGAUAUCGGGAGGAACACCGGUGGCGAAGGCGGCGACCUGGGUAGAGACUGACGCUGAGGUGCGAAAGCGUGGGGAGCAAACAGG